AUUUUGGGGCAAAAGAGGGCGCUUUUGGGCCAGAUGUGCUGUGUUUUAGGGGGAAACGCGGCUGUUUUGGGGGAAACUCUUGGCUUUUUAGGGAACCAUGUUGGGUUUUGGGGGAGCCAUGUUGGAUUAUGGGAAAUGUGCUGGCGUUUUGGGGGAACUCUUGGUGUUCUGGGGGAGCCAUGUUGGGUUUUGGGGGAACUCUUGAUGUUUUGGGGGAACUCUUGGUAUUUUGGGGAACCAUGUUGGCGUUUUGGGGCAACUUUUGGCAUUUUGGGGGAACCACAUUGGGUUUUGGGGGAGCUCUUGGUAUUUUAGGGUAACCAUGUUGGGUUUUGGGGAACUCUUGAUGUUUUGGGGGAACCAUGUUGGGUUUUGGGGGAGCCAUCUUGGAUUAUGGGAAAUGUGUUGGUGUUUUGGGGGAACUCUUGGUGUUUUGGGGGAACCACGUUGGGUUUUGAGGAAACUCUUGAUGUUUUGGGGGAGCUCUUGGUAUUUUGGGGGAGCCAUGUUGGGUUUUGGGGGAACCAUGUUGGAUUAUGGGAAAUGUGUUGGUGUUUUGGGGGAACCGUGUUGGGUUUUGGGGGAACCGUGUUGGGUUUUUGGGGAGCCAUGUUGGGUUUUGGGGGAACCAUGUUGGGUUUUGAGGGAGCUCUUGGUGUUUUGGGGGAGCCAUGUUGGGUUUUGGGGGAACUCUUGGUAUUUUGGGGGAACUCUUGGUGUUUUGGGGGAACCAUGUUGGGUUUUCGUGGAGCUCUUGGUAUUUUGGGGGAACCAUGUUGGCAUUUUGGGGGAACUCUUGAUGUUUUGGGGGAGCUCUUGGUAUUUUGGGGGAACCACGUUGGGUUUUGGUGGGAGCCAUGUUGGAUUUUGGGGGAACUCUUGGUGUUUUGGGGGAACCGUGUUGGGUUUGGGUGGAGCCAUGUUGGAUUAUGGAAAAUGUGUUGGUGUUUUGGGGAACUCUUGGUAUUUUGGGGGAACCAUGUUGGUUUUGGGGGAACCAUGUUGGGUUUUGUGGGGGCUCUUUGUGUUUUGGGGGAACCAUGUUGGCGUUUUGGGGGAACUCUUGGCAUUUUGGGGGAACCAUGUUGGGUUUUGGGGGAGCUCUUGGUGUUUUGGGGGAACCACGUUGGGUUUUCGGGGGUCUUGUGCUGUUUUGAUGGAGCCAUGUUGGGUUUUGGGGGGGGUCUUGGUGUUUUGGGGGAGCCAUAUUAGGCUUUGGGGGAGCCAUGUUGGAUUAUGGGAAAUGUGUUGGCAUUUUGGGGGAACUCCUGGUAUUUUGGGGGAGCCAUGUUGGGUUUUGGGGGAACUCUUGGUAUUUUGGGGGA
rnacentral:lncRNA from 1 species